UUAUAAUUCUUAAUUUAGUGAGACACAAGGAACUCAGUCUAAGGCAUGUUUUCUGUGUGCGCAGUCUAAGGCCAACUGAGGACACAGAAGGGCUUCCUGCCUGCUGAAUCAAGCCAAAACGCCAGUCACAGAGGGAGGGUUGUGUCCGACUGAUUGCUUCAGCUCUGGUGCGGUGGACGACCCGGACAUUCUACCGUGCCUGGUGAUGUGUACAGGAGGAACACAGAUCAAAUCGGCUGCUGGACCAGAAUCCCUCAAUCUCAGUACACAUCAGCCCAGAAUGGGAGGUGGAUUAACAAUUAACUUGUUUAAUAUGGAGCUAUUGUCAAACAUUCUGGAAAGUGUUGGUUUCCAGAAUGCGCUAUUCUUAUCUGGAAAUAUG